AACUAUACCUGGGGUAUAAAACCUCUGGGAGCGCUGAGGUGGGCGUCAGUAGCCGUCAAGGAGCGUAAGUAACAAGACUAAACUUCACAACACCUUCCACGCCACAAUGAUGCUCCGUGUACUGUUGGUCGUCUGCCUGGCUGUCUGCGUGAUGAGUUCUAAGAUUAAAAAGGAAGACUGUAAGCCGACGGCAGGUGAUCUGGAGGCGACCGACCACCGCGAUCACUGCUUUGACCCCAAACACGACGAACACGACAAGUUCCACUGUGGCGUCGCCCAUGACGAUCACUGUGCCAGUCUUGGCCAUAAUCCAUAAAUAUUCUGCAUUUAAAAGACUCUCGCAAGAUCCUCAAAUAUUGGAAGUAAAUGGUAUAAAAUGCCGACACUCUGGAAAAAUAAACACAUGAUAAAGCCCACUGUGUGGACGAAACGUUGUCAAUAAAGGAUCACAUUAUA